rnacentral:lncRNA from 1 species
UAUUAUUAAGUUUUGGUUUGCUUAAAAGAAAGAUUAUUUUUUAAAUUAAGGUUAUUACAUUUGUCUAUCUUUCUGUAUGUGCUUUUAAUGUACUUGUGCCAUAGAAUUAUAGGGCUUUGACUUCUGGCUCUACAAAGGACACCAAGUUCUGCUAACUCUUAAACACUGACACCAAUUAAAGCCUCAUCUUCAGGCCCAGAGGGGGAUACCUGUGUUGGUUAAUACUGAGUGUCAACUUGAUUAGAUUGAAGGAUGCAAAGUAUUGAUCCUGGGUGUGUCUGUAAGGGUGUUGCCAAAGGAGAUUAACAAUUAAGUCAGGGCCUAGGAAAGGCACACCCAUUAUUAAUUUUGGUGGGCACAAUCUAAUCAGCUGCCAGCAUGGCUAGAAUAAAAGCAGGCAGAAGGAUGUGAAAAGACUAUACUGGCCUAGCCCCCCAGCCUCUCCUUGUCCUCAAACAUCAGACUUCAAGUUCUUCAGCUUUGAGACUUGGCUGGUUUCCUUUCCCCUCAGCUUGCAGAUGGCCUAUUGUGGGACCUUGGGAUCAUAGUGUUGCCAGAGGAGAAGGACAUUUGACUUGGUGGAUUGGAAGAGGAAGACCUACCCUCAAUACAGGUGGGCACCAUAAAAACAGCUGCCAGUACAACUAGAAGCAGCUUGAAGAGGGUAGCAUAGCUUUUCU